rnacentral:rRNA from 1 species
CCUACGGGGGGCAGCAGUGGGGAAUAUUGGACAAUGGGGGCAACCCUGAUCCAGCAAUUCUGUGUGCACGAGGAAGGUUUUCGGGUUGUAAAGUGCUUUCAGCAGGGAAGAAGGAAGUGACGGUACCUGCAGAAGAAGCGACGGCUAAAUACGUGCCAGCAGCCGCGGUAAUACGUAUGUCGCAAGCGUUAUCCGGAAUUAUUGGGCAUAAAGGGCAUCUAGGCGGCCAGGCAAGGCUGGGGUGAAAACUUGCGGCUCAACCGCAAGCCUGCCCUGGAAACUGCCUGGCUAGAGUGCUGGAGAGGUGGACGGAACUGCACGAGUAGAGGUGAAAUUCGUAGAUAUGUGCAGGAAUGCCGAUGAUGAAGAUAGUUCACUGGACGGCAACUGACGCUGAAGUGCGAAAGCUGGGGGAGCGAACAGGAUUAGAUACCCGGGUAGUC